CAUUUUCUUUGUUUUGUUAUUUGUAGUUUUACAAACAUGUUGUUCAGAGUUUGGAAAAGUUUAUUCAAAAGGUAAUACAACUUCUAAGUUGACUUGGGGAUCACUUUUCAAUAUACAGUACUUAGAACCCCCGCUGACACGAACUCCCAAGGCUAUGACAUUCGAAUUUUUGUUUUAGUGUCGUCCCGAAUAUAAAAUUCCGGCGUUGUAUGUGAUCGACUCGAUAAUCAGACAAUCCCGGCAUCAGGUAACUACUAGUGAAUUAUUUUAUCAAUUAAGUUGUCUUGCACAUGCAAUAAAUAGAUGCUUGUAUAACAGUAUUUAAUAGGGC